rnacentral:rRNA from 1 species
GACGAACGCUGGCGGCGUGCUUAACAUAUGCAAGUCGAACGGAAAGGCCCUGCUUUUGUGGGGUGCUCGAGUGGCGAACGGGUGAGUAACACGUGAGUAACCUGCCCUUGACUUUGGGAUAACUUCAGGAAACUGGGGCUAAUACCGGAUAGGAGCUCCUGCUGCAUGGUGGGGGUUGGAAAGUUUCGGCGGUUGGGGAUGGACUCGCGGCUUAUCAGCUUGUUGGUGGGGUAGUGGCUUACCAAGGCUUUGACGGGUAGCCGGCCUGAGAGGGUGACCGGCCACAUUGGGACUGAGAUACGGCCCAGACUCCUACGGGAGGCAGCAGUGGGGAAUAUUGCACAAUGGGCGGAAGCCUGAUGCAGCAACGCCGCGUGCGGGAUGACGGCCUUCGGGUUGUAAACCGCUUUCGCCUGUGACGAAGCGCGAGUGACGGUAAUGGGUAAAGAAGCACCGGCUAACUACGUG